GUCGGGAUAGCCAAGCCUGGUUACGGCGGACGCCUCGAAAGCGUCUGUGCGUUGCACACGGGGGUUCAAAUCCCUCUCCCGGCG
rnacentral:tRNA from 1 species